rnacentral:rRNA from 1 species
CCCUUAGAUGUUCUGGGCUGCACGCGCGCUACACUGAAGGAAUCAGCGUGCUAAAACCAUUGUCGAAAGGCAUUGGUAAACCCAUUAAAAUCCUACGUGAUUGGGAUCGGGAAUUGCAAUUAUUUCCCUUGAACGAGGAAUUCCCAGUAAGUGUGGGUCAUAAGCUCGCGUUGAUUACGUCCCUGCCCUUUGUACACACCGCCCGUCGCUGCCCGGGACUGAGCCGUUUCGAGAAAAGCGGGGACUGCUGCUGUCGGGGCUUUCGGGCCUUGGCUUCGGUGGAAACCGCUUUAAUCGCAGUGGCUUGAACCGGGCAAAAGUCGUAGCA